AAAAGAAGAUCAAGAAGAGCUUCAGAAUGAAGCUUUCUUGAUGGAGGGGAGCGGCAGACGGGUGAGUAACACGUGGGAACAUACCCAUCUCUGCGGAACAACUCCGGGAAACUGGAGCUAAUACCGCAUACGCCCUUCGGGGGAAAGAUUUAUCGGAGAUGGAUUGGCCCGCGUUGGAUUAGCUAGUUGGUGGGGUAAAGGCCGACCAAGGCGACGAUCCAUAGCUGGUCUGAGAGGAUGAUCAGCCACAUUGGGACUGAGACACGGCCCAAACUCCUACGGGAGGCAGCAGUGGGGAAUAUUGGACAAUGGGCGCAAGCCUGAUCCAGCCAUGCCGCGUGAGUGAUGAAGGCCUUAGGGUUGUAAAGCUCUUUCACCGAUGAAGAUAAUGACGGUAGUCGGAGAAGAAGCCCCGGCUAACUUCGUGCCAGCCGCCGCAGUAA
rnacentral:rRNA from 1 species